rnacentral:rRNA from 1 species
UAGGGAAUCUUCGGCAAUGGACGGAAGUCUGACCGAGCAACGCCGCGUGAGUGAAGAAGGUUUUCGGAUCGUAAAGCUCUGUUGUAAGAGAAGAACGAGUGUGAGAGUGGAAAGUUCACACUGUGACGGUAUCUUACCAGAAAGGGACGGCUAACUACGUGCUAGCAGCCGCGGUAAUACGUAGGUCCCGAGCGUUGUCCGGAUUUAUUGGGCGUAAAGCGAGCGCAGGCGGUUAGAUAAGUCUGAAGUUAAAGGCUGUGGCUUAACCAUAGUAGGCUUUGGAAACUGUUUAACUUGAGUGCAAGAGGGGAGAGUGGAAUUCCAUGUGUAGCGGUGAAAUGCGUAGAUAUAUGGAGGAACACCGGUGGCGAAAGCGGCUCUCUGGCUUGUAACUGACGCUGAGGCUCGAAAGCGUGGGGAGCAAACAGGAUUAGAUACCCUGGUAGUCCACGCUGUAAACGAUGAGUGCUAGGUGUUAGACCCUUUCCGGGGUUUAGUGCCGUAGCUAACGCAUUAAGCACUCCGCCUGGGGAGUACGACCGCAAGGUUG